rnacentral:rRNA from 1 species
ACUCCUACGGGAGGCAGCAGUAAGGAAUAUUGGACAAUGGGCGCAAGCCUGAUCCAGCCAUCCCGCGUGCAGGAAGACAGCCCUAUGGGUUUUAAACUGCUUUUAGAAGGGAAGAAAACGCCNACAUUUAUGUGGGGUUUUGACGGGUACCUUCAGAAUAAGCACCGGCUAACUCCGUGCCAGCAGCCGCGGUAAUACGGAGGGUGCGAGCGUUAUCCGGAAUUACUGGGUUUAAAGGGUGCGUAGGCGGGCGNUUAAGUCAGAGGUGAAAGCUUUCAGCUUAACUGAGAAAUUGCCUUUGAUACUGAUUGUCUUGAAAUAUGUUGAGGUUAGCAGAAUGUGGCAUGUAGCGGUGAAAUGCAUAGAUAUGCCAUAGAAUACCAAUUGCGAAGGCAGCUAACUGGGCAUUAUUUGACGCUGAGGCACGAAAGCGUGGGGAGCGAACAGGAUUAGAUACCCUGGUAGCUACG